GAGUUCUUAUCAAAGGACCAGAGUCACUACAAAAGUCUCAAACCAUCAGGUUCGCACCGGUGUCGAUGCUCAACCAAAGGUGGACCGGUAAUGCCAGUUCGUGCAGGAUGGUAACCUUUCGACCGGUUCAGGCAGUACCAGAGAGCAAAACUGGGAGUGUCGAAGAGAGCAUAAAGAACGCUGAGGAGGCGUGUGCAGGAGAUGCCACUACCGGUGAGUGUGUGGCAGCAUGGGAUGAGGUGGAGGAACUAAGUGCGGCGGCAAGCCAUGCAAGGGAUAAAAAGAAAUUAGAUUCUGACCCUCUUGAGACAUACUGCAAGGACAACCCAGAGACUGAUGAGUGUCGUACCUAUGAUAACUGAUAUACUAUCAAUAUCAAAUCUCCCUUUUAUUAUUAUUUCUGUUGUGUAUUAAUUAAUUUUUAUGUAAGCAAGAUUGAAUAAUCCAUAUAUACCAUCUUUACAUAUAAACUAGUUAUUAUU
rnacentral:lncRNA from 1 species